AACGAACGCUGGCGGCAUGCCUAACACAUGCAAGUCGAACGGGAUCCGAACUUCGGUUCGGUGAGAGUGGCGGACGGGUGAGUAACGCGUGGGAACCUGCCCAGUGGUGGGGGAUAACUGCGGGAAACUGCAGCUAAUACCGCAUGAGCCCGAGAGGGGAAAGAUUUAUCGCCAUUGGAGGGGCCCGCGUUCGAUUAGGUAGUUGGUGAGGUAAUGGCUCACCAAGCCGACGAGCGAUAGCUGGUCCGAGAGGAUGAUCAGCCACAAUGGGACUGAGAUCGGGCCCAGACUACUGCGGGAGGCAGCAGUGGGGAAUAUUGGACAAUGGGGGCAACCCUGAUCCAGCAAGGCCGCGUGAGUGAUGAAGGCCUUCGGGUUGUAAAGCUCUUUUGGCGGGGACGAUGAUGACGGUACCCGCAGAAUAAGCCCCGGCUAACUUCGUGCCAGCCGCCGCCGUAAUAC
rnacentral:rRNA from 1 species